GGGGUUGAAUAUGGUUUCGACUGGUCCGGUUUGAUUCAUACUGCAGUGGAGUGAUGACCUAAUCAUCAAAACAAAUUAAACGCUAACACUGAAUUAGCAUUUGCCUAACCAAUACAGUCGACAUAGACUUUAGGCGCUUCUGAUUGUAAAGCUCGUAGCAGUCAGUCGUAUACACAAGCUAGGUGAAGCAAGUUUGUCUCUUUCUCUUGCCAUCCGAAAACCGAAAAGAACGAUUCAGUAUCCGGCAGUUUAAGCCAUCGGUACUGUCUUAUUUCAAAGUUAAACUAAACUGUAGACGUGUGAAUGUGGAGCCCUUCCAGGACGAGGGUUCGAGUCCCUCCAACUCCACCA
rnacentral:tmRNA from 1 species